rnacentral:lncRNA from 1 species
GCACAUUUUGCUUAUGGUUUUUGUUUGUUUGGAAAGCUUCUAAGCACUCAUUUGUAAACAAACAAUCACUUGGGCUCCAAGCUUUUAGAUUAACAAUUCAAGCUUUUGGUUAAGAAUUCAAAAGCCUAGCACCUUUCCAGUGAAGAUGACUUGUACCAUAGCGAUAGAAAAUUUCUCCUCUACCGAAAGAGAACAUAUUGGAGCUAUGCCUCACCAAGAUUUUAUAAACUCUCCUAGAAACUAGAGUUAGAUCUUACUUUUCUUCCCUUUGUCAACUAAGAAACUUGGCUUUGGCUUUCCAGUGGAAGACAUGUCACACAAGCACCUCUCACUCAAAUAAAAGUCCACAAAAAAUAUAAGAGAGAGAUAGAGAUAGAAGAGAACCUGUGCAUUGCUUUAAGUGCUGGCAUACUUAGCAAUGGAUGAUAGCUUUAGUAGCCACUAGAAGCAUCUCCCCAAAGAGCUCUCCAAACAGUAAGAUAGCUGGAAGAAAAACCCGUGAAUUCUCAAGAGAGAAAAGCUAUACCUCGAAGAACAGGGCAUGAUCUUGACAAGCCCCGUCCUCUUUGACAAGCCCCGGUCCUUUUGAUCACGUCAUUGCUCUUUCUACUUUCUCGUCUUGGCGGCUUCUCGAGAGAGAUGACUUGUCACGAUCCN